rnacentral:rRNA from 1 species
AACGAACGCUGGCGGCAUGCCUAACACAUGCAAGUCGAACGAGACCUUCGGGUCUAGUGGCGCACGGGUGCGUAACGCGUGGGAACCUGCCCUUAGGUUCGGAAUAACUCCCCGAAAGGGGUGCUAAUACCGGAUAAUGUCUUCGGACCAAAGAUUUAUCGCCUUUGGAUGGGCCCGCGUUGGAUUAGCUAGUUGGUAGGGUAAAAGCCUACCAAGGCGACGAUCCAUAGCUGGUCUGAGAGGAUGAUCAGCCACACUGGGACUGAGACACGGCCCAGACUCCUACGGGAGGCAGGAGUGGGGAAUAAUGGACAAUGGGCGAAAGCCUGAUCCAGCAAUGCCGCGUGAGUGAUGAAGGCCUUAGGGUUGUAAAGCUCUUUUACCCGGGAUGAUAAUGACAGUACCGGGAGAAUAAGCUCCGGCUAACUCCGUG